GGAAGGGCACAAAGGGGGGCGGCGUCCCGUAGAGGAGGAAGAGGAGGAGGAGGAGGGCAGGCGCGACGCCUCCGCAGGAGCGGAGAGAUGGGCGACGGCCGCGGCGGGGGAGGUGGAGGGAAUCGACCGGCGUGGCUGCAGCAGUACGAGCUCGUGGGGAAGAUCGGGGAGGGGACCUACGGGCUGGUGUUCUUGGCGCGGACCAGCCUCCGCAAGGGUUGUAUUGCCAUCAAGAAGUUCAAGCAAUCCAAAGAGGGCGAUGGCGUCUCCCCCACCGCCAUCCGAGAGAUCAUGUUAUUACGAGAAACUUGCCAUGAGAAUGUCGUCAAAUUAGUGAAUGUGCACAUCAAUCAUGCGGAUAUGUCUCUCUAUCUAGCAUUUGAUUAUGCUGAGCAUGAUCUUUAUGAGAUCAUUAGACAUCAUCGAGAGAAGCUUAACCAUGGCAUCAAUCAAUACACUGUAAAGUCAUUGCUCUGGCAGCUUCUUAAUGGACUAAACUAUCUUCAUAGUAAUUGGAUUAUACACCGGGAUUUAAAGCCAUCAAAUAUUCUGGUUAUGGGUGAUGGGGAAGAACAUGGAGUUGUAAAAAUUGCUGAUUUUGGACUUGCCCGGAUCUAUCAAGCUCCAUUGAAGCCCUUGUAUGAAAAUGGGGUUGUGGUAACUAUUUGGUACCGUGCUCCCGAGCUGCUACUUGGCGCAAAGCACUAUACAAGCGCUGUUGAUAUGUGGGCUGUUGGAUGCAUUUUUGCUGAGCUAUUGACUCUCAAACCAUUAUUUCAAGGAGUAGAAGUCAAGGGUACAUCCAACCCAUUUCAGCUUGAUCAAUUGGACAAGAUAUUCAAGGUCCUAGGGCAUCCUACACCUGAAAGGUGGCCUACAUUGGUCAAUCUUCCGCAUUGGCAAAAUGACCAGCAACAUAUACAGGGCCAUAAGUACGAGAACCAUGGUCUUCAUAAUUUUGUUUCUGUGCCUCAGAAAAGUCCUGCAUUUGAUCUGCUAUCAAGGAUGCUGGAAUAUGAUCCUCGAAAGCGGAUAACUGCAGCGCAAGCUCUGGAGCACGAGUACUUUCGGAUGGAUCCUUUGCCAGGACGGAAUGCUCUGGUACCAUCUCAACCAGGAGAAAAAAUUGUUAAUUACCCUGCUCGUCCGGUUGAUACUACUGCAGAUUUUGAGGGAACAGUUGCUGUCCAGCCUUCUCAACCGGUAUCUUCUGGAAAUGCUGCUUCUGGUAAUGUAGCAGGUGCAUCUGUUGCGCCUCCAAGGUCUAUGCCUCGGCCUAUGCAUGUGGUUGGAAUGCAAAGGAUGCCGAACACAGGCAUGCCGGCUUUUAAUGUUGCAAACCAAACUGGUGUUGGUGCUCCUACUUCUGGUAAUAUUCCAAUGCAAAGGGGUGCUGCUGCUCAGGCCCAUCAGCAACAGUUGAGACGAAAAGAUCCAGGGCUGGGAAUGCAGAAUCCUGGUUAUCCUCAGCAGAAGAGGCGCUUUUGAGAGGUCCUGAAAAGGUGCAUCCCACAUGCACCUCUUUUUGUUUAUAAAAAAAAAUAAUGUCGAAGUCAAAACUAAGUCAAAUUUUAUCCUUGGUAGGAGACCAAAUUGCAGGCUGUAAAUAUCUUCUCAAGAUCCUAAUGUGGAAGAAAAGAAAGGCACCAUGCUCCGCCGGCCAACAAACAAUUGCAGUGCAGAUGCACAAGAAAGAAUCAAGGAUGCCCUGUUGCGGCACACCGAUCAUCUUUCUCAAAGAUGGUGUUCUACCACUGUUCAGUAAGCUUGUACAAUAUGGGAAGCUGGAAUCACCCAACAUAUACCAUCCAUCACCAUAUGUAAUCAUAUAUUUGAUUGACCCGCUGACCUGAUCUGAGACGACCAUGGUUUUCGCCUUUUUUCAUUGCUACCUUUGUAAUUUGAUCUCGAAUUUUUUCGAAGACAUUGUAUGUUCCUGCCCCAAUUACUCUUCCUACUCAUUAGAGUUUUAUCCA